GACGAACGCUGGCGGCGUGCUUAACACAUGCAAGUCGAGCGGAAAGGCCACUUCGGUGGUACUCGAGCGGCGAACGGGUGAGUAACACGUGAGUAAUCUGCCCCUGGCUUUGGGAUAGCCACCGGAGACGGUGAUUAAUACCGGAUACGACCACUUCUCGCAUGGGAUGGUGGUGGAAAGUUUUUUCGGCCAGGGAUGUGCUCGCGGCCUAUCAGCUUGAUGGUGAGGUAACGGCUCACCAUGGCUUCGACGGGUAGCCGGCCUGAGAGGGUGACCGGUCACACUGGGACUGAGACACGGCCAGACUCCUACGGGAGGCAGCAGUGGGGAAUAUUGGACGAUGGGCGGAAGCCUGAUCCAGCAACGCCGCGUGAGGGAUGACGGCCUUCGGGUUGUAAACCUCUUUCAGCAGGGACGAAGCGCAAGUGACGGUACCUACAGAAGAAGCACCGGCCAACUACGUGCCAGCCGCCGCCGUAA
rnacentral:rRNA from 1 species